rnacentral:rRNA from 1 species
UUCUACAGCCAUGUCACCCUGAAAGUGCCUGAUCUCGUCUGAUCUCGGAAGUUAAGCAGGGUCGGGCCUGGUUAGUACUUGGAAUAAUGUCUAACUGAUAGAGUUCUGGGAAGAUU